ensembl:lncRNA
GGAAAAGGUACUGGAUGACGGGCAGGCUCAGGGUCAGGGCAGGCAGGGGUCAGUAACCAGAGGUGGGGAAAAGGUACCGGAUGACGGGCAGGCUCAGGGUCAGGGCAGGCAGGGGUCAGUAACCAGAGGUGGGGAAACGUACCGGAUGACGGGCAGGCUCAGGGUCAGGGCAGGCAGGGGUCAGUAACCAGAGGUGGGGAAAAGGUACCGGAUGACGGGCAGGCUCAGGGUCAAGGCAGGCAGCGGUCAGUAACCAGAGGUGGGGAAAA